GAUGAAGAACGUAGCGAAACGCGAUAGGUAAUGUGAAUUGCAGAAUUCCGUGAAUCAUCGAAUCUUUGAACGCACAUUGCGCCCCCUGGUAUUCCGGGGGGCAUGCCUGUCCGAGCGUCAUUACAACCCUCAAGCUCAGCUUGGUGUUGGGCCCCGCCGCCCCGGCGGGCCCUAAAGUCAGUGGCGGUGCCGUCCGGCUCCGAGCGUAGUAAUUCUUCUCGCUCUGGAGGUCCGGUCGUGUGCUCGCCAGCAACCCCCAAUUUUUUUCAGGUUGACCUCGGAUCAGGUAGGGAUACCCGCUGAACUUAAGCAUAUCAAUAAGCGGAGGA
rnacentral:misc_RNA from 1 species